CUGCCACUGCACAUCAAAGCCCACAUUAUCCGCAGCCUUUACUCCAUUCAGGGACAAAUGCUAAAAUAGAGAGGACACCUUCCAUCGCAGCAGACACAGAGUUAGAGCCCCCAUAACAAGCACCAAGAGAACCCACUUUGCAUUCUGCCCUGCUGACCUCUUCCCCGCCAACUCUGGCAUUAGUGAGUGUGAAGGAAUUGCUUGCUUCCAGCCACUGAAUCCAAAAUGAAGUCAUUUGCUUUCAGAACUAUUUCAUCUCCAAGAAUAUACUCAAAAUGCCAUCAAUGCAGUUCCGGGAAUGCUGGCUGGGAUGGCAAUUUCACCUCAACGCUAAUUCCAAGACCCUUUACAGAGAGAUCUUAACACAAGAUUUGCUACAAAUCCCUUGCCUGGCUGCACUUGGAAGCCUGACUGAUUUGUAGAGAAUGCUGCUGUCACUUCACGCAUGCCCUGUGCGAAGUUGAAAUACCGACUGUAUCCUCUUCAACCCUGUAGC